rnacentral:rRNA from 1 species
UUCGCCCUUAGAGUUUGAUCCUGGCUCAGGAUGAACGCUGGCGGCGCGCCUAACACAUGCAAGUCGAACGAGCGAGAGAGAGCUUGCUUUCUCAAGCGAGUGGCGAACGGGUGAGUAACGCGUGAGGAACCUGCCUCAAAGAGGGGGACAACAGUUGGAAACGACUGCUAAUACCGCAUAAGCCCACGGGUCGGCAUCGACCAGAGGGAAAAGGAGCAAUCCGCUUUGAGAUGGCCUCGCGUCCGAUUAGCUAGUUGGUGAGGUAAUGGCCCACCAAGGCAACGAUCGGUAGCCGGACUGAGAGGUUGAACGGCCACAUUGGGACUGAGACACGGCCCAGACUCCUACGGGAGGCAGCAGUGGGGAAUAUUGCACAAUGGGGGAAACCCUGAUGCAGCGACGCCGCGUGGAGGAAGAAGGUCUUCGGAUUGUAAACUCCUGUUGUUGAGGAAGAUAAUGACGGUACUCAACAAGGAAGUGACGGCUAACUACGUGCCAGCAGCCGCGGUAAAACGUAGGUCACAAGCGUUGUCCGGAAUUACUGGGUGUAAAGGGAGCGCAGGCGGGAAGACAAGUUGGAAGUGAAAUCUAUGGGCUCAACCCAUAAACUGCUUUCAAAACUGUUUUUCUUGAGUAGUGCAGAGGUAGGCGGAAUUCCCGGUGUAGCGGUGGAAUGCGUAGAUAUCGGGAGGAACACCAGUGGCGAAGGCGGCCUACUGGGCACCAACUGACGCUGAGGCUCGAAAGUGUGGGUAGCAAACAGGAUUAGAUACCCUGGUAGUCCACACCGUAAACGAUGAUUACUAGGUGUUGGAGGAUUGACCCCUUCAGUGCCGCAGUUAACACAAUAAGUAAUCCACCUGGGGAGUACGACCGCAAGGUUGAAACUCAAAGGAAUUGACGGGGGCCCGCACAAGCAGUGGAGUAUGUGGUUUAAUUCGACGCAACGCGAAGAACCUUACCAAGUCUUGACAUCCCUUGACGAACAUAGAAAUAUGUUUUCUCUUCGGAGCAAGGAGACAGGUGGUGCAUGGUUGUCGUCAGCUCGUGUCGUGAGAUGUUGGGUUAAGUCCCGCAACGAGCGCAACCCUUACUGUCAGUUACUACGCAAGAGGACUCUGGCAGGACUGCCGUUGACAAAACGGAGGAAGGUGGGGAUGACGUCAAAUCAUCAUGCCCUUUAUGACUUGGGCUACACACGUACUACAAUGGCGUUAAACAAAGAGAAGCAAGACCGCGAGGUGGAGCAAAACUCAGAAACAACGUCCCAGUUCGGACUGCAGGCUGCAACUCGCCUGCACGAAGUCGGAAUUGCUAGUAAUCGUGGAUCAGCAUGCCACGGUGAAUACGUUCCCGGGCCUUGUACACACCGCCCGUCA